AGUCUGGUGCCAGCAGCCGCGGUAAUUCCAGCUCCAAUAGCGUAUAUUAAAGUUGUUGCAGUUAAAAAGCUCGUAGUUGGAUUUCUGUUUUGAGCGUCCGGUCGGCUCCCUCUGGAGUGUGUACUUUUGCGACGUUCGAGGCAUUUUUUGUGAGGACGCUUUUCUGCCAUUAAGUUGGUGGUUUGGUGGACUUGCAUCGUUUACUGUGAAAAAAUUAGAGUGUUUAAAGCAGGCGUUUGCUCAUUGAAUACAUUAGCAUGGAAUAAUAAGAUACGACCUUGGUGGUCUAUUUUGUUGGUUUGCACACCAGGGUAAUGAUUAAUAGGGACAGUUGGGGGUAUUCAUAUUUCAGCGUCAGAGGUGAAAUUCUUGGAUCGCUGAAAGAUGAGCUUAGGCGAAAGCAUUUACCAAGGAUGUUUUCAUUAAUCAAGAACGAAAGUUAGGGGAUCGAAGAUGAUUAGAUACCAUCGUAGUCUUAGCCAUAAACUAUGCCGACUCGGGAUUGGCAGUCGUUUUUUUAAAUGACCUUGUCAGCACCGUAUGAGAAAUCAAAGUCUUUGGGUUCCGGGGGGAGUAUGGUCGCAAGGCUGAAACUUAAAGGAAUUGACGGAAGGGCGCCACCAGGAGUGGAGCCUGCGGCUUAAUUUGACCCAACACGGGGAAACUUACCAGGUCCAGACAUAGUAAGGAUUGACAGAUUGAGAGCUCUUUCUUGAUUCUAUGGGUGGUGGUGCAUGGCCGUUCUUAGUUGGUGGAGUGAUUCGUCUGGUUAAUUCCGUUAACGAACGAGACCUCCGCGUGCUAACUAGUUCCGCUUACAAUUUUUUGUAGGUUUUUGGGACUUCUUAGAGGGACUUUUGGGUAAUCAAACCAAAGGAAGUUGGAGGCAAUAACAGGUCUGUGAUGCCCUUAGAUGUUCUGGGCCGCACGCCGCUACACUGAUGCGUUCAACGAGUAUACAACCUUGAUCGAUAGGUCUGGGUAAUCUUUUGAAUGCGCAUCGUGCUAGGGAUAGAUUGUUGCAAUUUUCAAUCUUGAACGAGGAAUUCCUAGUAAACGCAAGUCAUCAGCUUGCAUUGAUUACGUCCCUGCCCUUUGUACACACCGCCCGUCGCACCUACCGAUUGAAUGACUCGGUGAAAAAUUGGGACUGUGAGCCUGUUUGCUUUAUUGCGAGUGGGUUUGUGGGAACUUUUUUUAACCUCGCCAUUUAGAGGAAGGUGAAGUCGUA
rnacentral:rRNA from 1 species